rnacentral:rRNA from 1 species
AAGUCGAACGGUAACAGGAAGCAGCUUGCUGCUUUGCUGACGAGUGGCGGACGGGUGAGUAAUGUCUGGGAAACUGCCUGAUGGAGGGGGAUAACUACUGGAAACGGUGGCUAAUACCGCAUAACGUCGCAAGACCAAAGAGGGGGACCUUCGGGCCUCUUGCCAUCAGAUGUGCCCAGAUGGGAUUAGCUAGUUGGUGAGGUAACGGCUCACCAAGGCGACGAUCCCUAGCUGGUCUGAGAGGAUGACCAGCCACACUGGAACUGAGACACGGUCCAGACUCCUACGGGAGGCAGCAGUGGGGAAUAUUGCACAAUGGGCGCAAGCCUGAUGCAGCCAUGCCGCGUGUAUGAAGAAGGCCUUCGGGUUGUAAAGUACUUUCAGCGGGGAGGAAGGUGUUGUGGUUAAUAACCACAG